GGGCUUAUGGCGCAGUGGUAGCGCGAAUGCUUUGCACUACAUGUAUUGCAUUAGGUCCAGGGUUCAAUCCCCUGUGAGUCCA